CCCCUCAGCAAUGUGCAGAGAUACCUUGUUGGUGGUGGUAUUCUUAUAUCAGUCAGGGACAGAGCAAAUGGCAGUUCUUUGUUCAUCCUUGCUUGAUACCUGGCUUGGUGACCAAAGCUGUAUUAUGCCUAGGACACAUAA